rnacentral:rRNA from 1 species
UGGAAACGGCCGCUAAUACCCCAUAUGCCGAGAGGUGAAAUGAAUUUCGCCUGAGGAUGAGCCCGCGUCUGAUUAGCUAGUUGGUGAGGUAAAAGCUUACCAAGGCUACGACGGAUAGCUGGUCUGAGAGGACGAUCAGCCACACUGGGACUGAGACACGGCCCAGACUCCUACGGGAGGCUGCAGCAGGGAAUAUUGUGCAAUGAACGAAAGUUUGACACAGCGACACCGCGUGUGGGAUGACGGAUCUAGGUUUGUAAACCACUUUCAGGAGGGAAGAAAAUGACGGUACCUCCACAAGAAGCCCCGG